AACGAACGCUGGCGGCAUGCCUAACACAUGCAAGUCGAACGAGACCUUCGGGUCUAGUGGCGCACGGGUGCGUAACGCGUGGGAACCUGCCCUUAGGUUCGGAAUAACUCCCCGAAAGGGGUGCUAAUACCGGAUAAUGUCUUCGGACCAAAGAUUCAUCGCCUUUGGAUGGGCCCGCGUUGGAUUAGCUAGUUGGUAGGGUAAAAGCCUACCAAGGCGACGAUCCAUAGCUGGUCUGAGAGGAUGAUCAGCCACACUGGGACUGAGACACGGCCCAGACUCCUACGGGAGGCAGCAGUGGGGAAUAUUGGACAAUGGGCGAAAGCCUGAUCCAGCAAUGCCGCGUGAGUGAUGAAGGCCUUAGGGUUGUAAAGCUCUUUUACCCGGGAUGAUAAUGACAGUACCGGGAGAAUAAGCGCCGGCUAACUCCGUG
rnacentral:rRNA from 1 species